UACGUAGGGUGCGAGCGUUGUCCGGAAUAUUGGGCGUAAAGAGCUUGUAGGUGGCUCGUUGCGUCGGGAGUGAAAACCUGCGGCUUAACCGCAGGCCUGCUUCCGAUACGGGCGAGCUAGAGUUCGGCAGGGGAGACUGGAAUUCCUGGUGUAGCGGUGGAAUGCGCAGAUAUCAGGAGGAACACCGGUGGCGAAGGCGGGUCUCUGGGCCGAUACUGACACUGAGAAGCGAAAGCGUGGGGAGCGAACAGG
rnacentral:rRNA from 1 species